rnacentral:rRNA from 1 species
UACAGAGGGGGCAAGCGUUGUUCGGAAUUACUGGGCGUAAAGGGCGCGUAGGCGGCCUGUUAAGUCGAACGUGAAAUCCCCGGGCUCAACCCGGGAACUGCGUCCGAUACUGGCAGGCUUGAAUCCGGGGAGAGGGAUGCGGAAUUCCAGGUGUAGCGGUGAAAUGCGGUAGAUAUCUGGAGGAACACCGGUGGCGAAGGCG